GUUGACCUCGGAUCAGGUAGGAAUACGCGCUGAACUUAAGCAUAUCAAUAAGCGCAGGAAAAGAAACCAACAGGGAUUGCCUCAGUAACGGCGAGUGAAGCGGCAACAGCUCAAAUUUGAAAUCUGGCCUCUUGGGGUCCGAGUUGUAAUUUGUAGAGGAUGUUUUGGGUACCGCCCCGGUCUAAAUUUCUUGGAACAGAAUGUCAAAGAGGGUGAGAAUCCCGUCUUGGACCGGCGGUAGGGCCUGUGUAAAACUCCUUCGACGAGUCGAGUUGUUUGGGAAUGCAGCUCAAAAUGGGUGGUAAAUUUCAUCUAAAGCUAAAUAUUGGCCAGAGACCGAUAGCGCACAAGUAGAGUGAUCGAAAGAUGAAAAGCACUUUGAAAAGAGAGUUAAACAGUAUGUGAAAUUGUUGAAAGGGAAGCGCUUGCAACCAGACUUGCGCGCGGCGGUUCCCCUUGCCUUUUGGUCAGGGUACUCCGUCGCGUUCAGGCCAACAUCGGUUUUGGGGGCCAGUUAAAGGCCCUGGGAAUGUACCUACCUACGGGUAGACUUAUAGACCAGGGUGCCAUGUGGCCUCCCGGGACCGAGGAACGCGCUUCGGCUCGGAUGUUGGCGUAAUGGUUGUCAGCGACCCGUCUUGAAACACGGACCAAGGAGUCUAACAUCUAUGCGAGUGUUUGGGUGUCAAACCCGGAACGCGGAAUGAAAGUGAACGGAGGUAGGAAGCUUCGGCUGCACUAUCGACCGAUCCUGAAGUUUACGGAUGGAUUUGAGUAAGAGCAUAGCUGUUGGGACCCGAAAGAUGGUGAACUAUGCCUGAAUAGGGUGAAGCCAGAGGAAACUCUGGUGGAGGCUCGCAGCGGUUCUGACGUGCAAAUCGAUCGUCAAAUUUGGGUAUAGGGGCGAAAGACUAAUCGAACCAUCUGGUAGCUGGUUCCUGCCGAAGUUUCCCUCAGGAUAGCAGUAACGUUUUCAGUUUUAUGAGGUAAAGCGAAUGAUUAGAGGCCUUGGGGUUGAAACAACCUUAACCUAUUCUCAAACUUUAAAUAUGUAAGAAGUCCUUGUUACUUAAUUGAACGUGGACAUUUGAAUGUACCGUUACUAGUGGGCCAUUUUUGGUAAGCAGAACUGGCGAUGCGGGAUGAACCGAACGUGAGGUUAAGGUGCCGGAAUGUACGCUCAUCAGACACCACAAAAGGUGUCAAUGCAUCUAGACAGCCGGACGGUGGCCAUGGAAGUCGGAAUCCGCUUAGGAGUGUGUAACAACUCACCGGCCGAAUGCAUUGGCCCUGAAAAUGGAUGGCGCUUAAGCGUGCUACCUAUACCUCGCCGUUAGGGUUGACAUGAUGCCCUAACGAGUAGGCAGGCGUGGAGGUCCGUGACGAAGCCUUGGGGGUGACCCUGGGUCGAACGACCUCUAGUGCAG
rnacentral:rRNA from 1 species